rnacentral:rRNA from 1 species
UACAGAGGCCUCGAGCGUUAGGCGGAAUCACUGGGCGUAAAGCGUCUGUAGGUGGUUUAAUAAGUCAACUGUUAAAUCUUGAGGCUCAACCUCAAAAUCGCAGUCGAAACUAUUAGGCUAGAGUAUAGUAGGGGUAAAGGGAAUUUCCAGUGGAGCGGUGAAAUGCGUAGAGAUUGGAAAGAACACCGAUGGCGAAGGCACUUUACUGGGCUAUUACUAACACUCAGAGACGAAAGCUAGGGUAGCAAAUGGG